UAAGGGAUAGAUACAACUGGGGGAAGAUUCACUAUGGGGAACACUACAGAUACCCACAAAUAGAUUCCAGCAAGGGGGCAUAAAGCCCAGGCCCUUAAACGAUCCCUUGGCUAAACUAAUAAAUGCCCGGAAAAUAAUUACUGUCUCUCUUCUAGCUGCAGAUGGAGGACACCGGCAAUGGAUGGUCCAUCUCAGGAGAUGAACAGAUCUGAGCAGAUAGCACAGUCUUCACUGGAUCCUUUGGUGGAUUACAGGAGUCAGGUACUGAGUAGAACUCUUCAGUUUCCCCUCUUCUUGAACAAAAUCCAGUAUAGAAACUGACAUCUAUGUCCAUAUGGAGGAACCCUGUCAGCUGCACAAUCCAGAUGCCCAGCUGUUGGACUGUAGUUCCAUCACUUGCUCUUCUAACAGACAUGCAUACGAUUAUGAGCAAACUGUGACCAUAUGGGAGUCUGUGAGUCAAAGUUCAGAAACCAACCAGCUGCCUUAGGUUUCUGAUAACAGAUCGAUUGUGGCAAGGACUUUCCUAUCUUUGAUUACCCAUGCGUCUAAAAUCAGAAUAUGUGUAUUUUUCUUGACUUCAUGGGUGAAUUUUAUCACCCUGGGCGCACACAUUCGCUCUCCCACUGAAGCUGGCCAUAACUGUUUAAUGAUUACCAGUAUGCCAUCUGUAUAACUGUUACAUCAUUCACUGGAGUUCCACUCAGAGACUUCUAUUCAUCUCAAAUUCUGGCUCUGCGGGUGCCGGUCACGGAGGCUCCACAACUCAGCACCCGUGGAGUUGAACAGUGAUUCAUGUCUCCAAAGUUUCAUGACACUGGCACUGCAGAAGUCGGAAUCCAGCCUUUUGCUCCGCACCCUUCCCCCCACAAAUGCUCGCA